rnacentral:lncRNA from 1 species
UGGCUAAGCUAGUCUGUGCAGGAAAAUACAAGCCCAUCUACAAAUUAGUAUAUAUGCGAGCUAUCAAGUCCAACAUGGCAUCUCUCUCUGAAGAAGGAGGUAACGCUGUGAGCUCCUGCCCAAGGGUAUCUACACAUUAACAAAUCCAUAGCUAACUACAUGGUGAUGCUAUGCUCAUCAAUAUACGUGUUCAUCUUUGCAAUAAUAGCAGUAGUAUGGGACCUCACUGUAGUACUAUCUAUAAUGGCUACGUCUCGGGAAAAUACAACGUCAUCCCACUCAACAAUCAAAGCAUCUCUGGAUGAUCUGGCCUCAUCCAAGAAAUAGUGGUGUCUCUAUAAGCUAAAGCAUCAUCUCUCUCCAAUAGAGCGACAUCUCUCCCAGUAAGAGCUGUCAACAUCAAGGCUCUAGCAUGAUCCCUCUCAAAUGUCAUCAGAUGCAGGCUUUGCUCUAAAUAUUUUGCUUUCUUAGUAAACUCUUAGAAUAGCUAUGUAUAUAUAGUACAUCUUAGCUACACAUGCUUCAUUUCAAUAUUUAUAAAUAUUUAUCACACAAUUGACUCGCUAUGUGUUCGACACAUAUUUAAAGUUUAUAGAUACGCGAUCUACAUCGUUCUUACAUUUUGAAAACUUUAAUAAAAUUUAACAACUCCAUGUUUUAUAUAACCAUUACUCAUAUGCUUUAGACAUUCAUUACUCAUAUGCUUUAAGGUUCAGAUCAAAGUUAAAAUAGUCAGGCAUUACUGUCAUGUGGUGCAGCUGCGCCCUAGUAAGGCUUAGGGAUGGUGUAACUGCGUUGUCCCCUGGCCAGACCAGGGUUGAGCUUGCACUUCCUGUUUCUGUCCAACUCUAACACACCUAUUCACUUAUAGUUUAACAUACAUACAUGUUAGAG